CUCCGCAGCUCUGAGCUGGCCUCGCUCCCACCCCCUCUACCCAGUCCUCUGAUCUGCUAUGGACUCAGGUUGGGUGCCCAGCUCAGGCCCUGGAGGCUGAGAACAGACCGCAGCCCCUCAGCCCAGGCAGAGGAGCCCCCAGCACAGGGCAUGGGGGUGGGCCGCCUUCCCAGGUAUGUGCCUCCAUGCAAGGUUGGGCCUGAGAGCCAACACCCCCACCCUUCCCCUGCGCCCCAUCCCUCCCCACCAUCUCAAGGGUGCUCUAGCCCGGGAGACCUCCCCACCCUACAGUCCACCCUUGGUUCCUGCCUUCUCACCACUCCGUCCUGUCAGGCAGCCCCUCCUUGCCCAUCUCUUUCUGUUUCUUAAGACAUGAUCUCCAUACUCUUUUCCCCAAUUGCUGUUGUCUGCCUGCCUCUUUCUGUCCCUGCUCCCUUUGGGUCUCUGACCCUCUCUCUGUCCCUCUCCGACUCAGCCCCCUCUUUGAGUUUCUGCACCUUCUCUGGGUCGGUCUGUCUCAGAGCUCCUUCUCAACGCUCCUUCCUGCCCGGCUCUGAGUCUGCUGCUCUGUCUGCCUCAGCCCCACACUCGUUGCUAUCAGUCUCUGGGUCAACUUGCUGUCCAGACCCCAUUCAUUGGGGGAAAUGGGGGGAGACUCCUUGGUUUCAGGGGAAGGCUGAAGGUGUGUGUACAUUUGUGGGGGACAAGCUAGUACCCAAGGGCGGGG
rnacentral:lncRNA from 1 species